CAGCAGCCGCGGGAAUACGGAGGGUGCAAGCGUUAAUCGGAAUUACUGGGCGUAAAGCGCACGCAGGCGGUCUGUCAAGUCAGAUGUGAAAUCCCCGGGCUUAACCUGGGAACUGCAUUUGAAACUGGCAGGCUAGAGUCUUGUAGAGGGGGGUAGAAUUCCAGGUGUAGCGGUGAAAUGCGUAGAUAUAGGAAGUAACACCAGUGGCGAAGGCGACCACCUGGACUGAUACUGACACUGAGGUGCGAAAGCGUGGGGAGCAAACAGGAUUAGAUACCCCGGUAGUCCCUGUCUCUUAUAC
rnacentral:rRNA from 1 species